rnacentral:ncRNA from 1 species
AUGUCUCUCAGGCUCUAGCACGGCCCUCGGAUAACGCUAGAGCCUUUCUCGCCGGCCCUUGUGGCCGGUUUUUUU